GGGGAUGUGGAUCAGUGGAAGAGCACCUGCUUAGCAUGUGGGAGGCCCUGGGUUCAAUUGCCAGUAUCAUGG
rnacentral:tRNA from 1 species